rnacentral:misc_RNA from 1 species
UUCCCACCUUUUCUCUAAUACUAUUAUUAUGGAUUUUAUCUUGUCUAGUAUGGCCACCCAUCGACCUUAACAUUCUCAUUUUCACAACUCUUAUCUGAGACACAUACGACUCCUUCAUUUUGCAACACUCACUAUCAUAUAACAUGGCCGGUCGUAUGGUUGUACAGUAAAAUUUUCCUUUCAAUUUAUUAGGAAUCUUACGAUCACAUAAAACUUCCGUGGCAUGUUUCCACUUCAACCAUCCAGCUUUAA